rnacentral:lncRNA from 1 species
GUUAUACUGCAAUCAGCUAGUUUACUGUACAGAUAAAGGUAUACGUAUAAACGUUAGCUUUAUACUUCAAUGACCCCAACUGACGUAUAAGCCCCGCCUCCUUAUUGUAUUUCAUCAACAACAUCACGUCACGACCAUGACAACGUAAAGUAACAUGGUCAACUUUUUUUCAAUUAAACUUUUAUGUCUCAAAUUGUUUAUUCAUAUAUCAUGUUUAUCAAAUGUUAUUAAUUAAGUUCAUUUUCCCUUUCUAAUUCCUUAAUACGCCAAUGUCUUACCACCUGGACUACGCUCAUAGGGAAAUACCCCAAAAUGGUACCUCAAGAGGGAAAUUCCAAACACUUUUUUUAACAAUUUUUGUUACAUGUUUUUUUUUCAUUUUUCUUUUUUUUU